UGUGGUGCACAUGAUGACUCAACUUUUUUCCCCAGCAGAUCGACUCUGUUGACUUUUACCGAAAUAAGCCAAAUAUUCUGAGCUACCAGA